AGAAGACAUGGAGAAGGACUUUCGGUCAGAGCCAAGGUGCUUCUGGAAAACCGUUCGCCACCUCAGGAGAUGGAAGCGAGGAGCCAUCUAAGCUGUGUACAUUAAGGAUGGGACGCUGUUGAUCUAAACUGAGGAG